rnacentral:rRNA from 1 species
AGCAACAAGGGUGAAAUCUGUACUUAAGUUAAAUUUCUUGUUUAAAGCAUCUUUUAGGUAGUUAAACGACUAGGAUUAGAUACCCUAUUAGUCUAUCCUUAAUUAACCUGGGUAGUAAUAUUAAAACCUAAAGAAUUUGGCGGUUUCUAAACUUACUAGAGGAACCUGUCCCGUAAACGACAAUCCACGAAAAAAUCAACCCAAACUUGUUAUUCAGCUUAUAUACCGUCGUUUAGGGGAUUAAACAAAUAGAUCUCCUUAAGAGUUUAGGCUAAUAAAUCAGAUCAAGGUGUAGCUUAUGUUUGGGUGAGGAUGGGUUACAAUGAAAAUUCAUACGGAACCUUUAUAUUUCUACAAAGGAGAAGCUGGAUUUAGAAGUAAGACCUAACACACUGAAGAAAGCCCUGAGAAAUGUACAC